rnacentral:rRNA from 1 species
GAACGCCAGCUAACAUGCAGUCGACGGUAACAGGAAGCAGCUUGCUGCUUAGCUGACGAGUGGCAGACGGGUGAGUAAUGUCUGGGAAACUGCCUGAUGGAGGGGGAUAACUACUGGAAACGGUAGCUAAUACCGCAUAACGUCGCAAGACCAAAGAGGGGGACCUUCGGGCCUCUUGCCAUCGGAUGUGCCCAGAUGGGAUUAGCUAGUAGGUGGGGUAACGGCUCACCUAGGCGACGAUCCCUAGCUGGUCUGAGAGGAUGACCAGCCACACUGGAACUGAGACACGGUCCAGACUCCUACGGGAGGCAGCAGUGGGGAAUAUUGCACAAUGGGCGCAAACCUGAUGCAGCCAUGCCGCGUGUAUGAAGAAGGCCUUCGGGUUGUAAAGUACUUUCAACGGGGAGGAAGGCGACAGGGUUAAUAACCCUGACAAUUGACGAUACCCACAAAGAAAGCACCGGAUAAGCCAACGCCGACAGGAAGUAGAAAGCAGAGGGGGCAGACAUGAUUAGACAUAACUGACCAUGAUGCUCCCCCGAGGGAACCGACACCAGAGAACUCAUUUAGGAGAUCACCUUGGGGGCACGACUCCACAAGGGGAGGCUUUAAGCUUUUAACGAGGGGGAAGCACGCCUCGGGGGCACAGCCUCCAAGUCCAAGCUUUCACGGACUGGACUAGCAAGGAUCUCGUCCUGAUUGCUCCAGACGCUUUCGAGCCCGAGCGUAAGGAGUUGUCCCGGGGGGCACGCUUCGCACAGGAAAUUCCUCACAUGACUACAGCUAUCACCGCUGCCCAUGACGAUGGACACCCCCAGCCAAAACUCUAAACCUGACCGCUUGGGGGAGAAGCGCCAAGGAGUAGACCAGCGAAUUGAAGUACCGGGCAGACCGACAACCAGCGGACAGUAUCGCACACUUAUUUAGAUCGAACAGGGACUCCACCCAGAUCUUAACCCCGUGGAAGCUUAGAGACAUAGUGCGUGACGACAUCGUUACGGGGAAAUAUGAAAAUAGGAGCGGAUUGUAAGCCCCGCCGACCAUCCCUCGCCAAAUGAAUGGUAUUAAAACCCCGGAGGGGCCUACAUCCCAUCAUCCGGUGGUGCCCACGUGAUGGUGCCGCCAAGAUGGAGCGGAUAUCGCCCAUGAUGCUGCACCUCCGAA